rnacentral:misc_RNA from 1 species
GCAAACUUGGUCAUUUAGAGGAAGUAAAAGUCGUAACAAGGUUUCCGUAGGUGAACCUGCGGAAGGAUCAUUACAAAUGAAGCGGUGCCCUCGUGGCCCGUCCUUCUCACCACUGUGUACCAAACUUUUCGUUGCCUCGGCGGGCUGGAUCAGCCCCGGCUGAACCCCCCCUCUUCGGAGGGGAGCCGUCCGCCGCAGGACAAUUCAAAACCAUUCUGUUCGAUGAACGUCUGAUUAUUUCUUCGCGAAUGCGAUAAAUACAACUUUCAACAAUGGAUCUCUUGGCUCCGGCAUCGAUGAAGAACGCAGC